rnacentral:tRNA from 1 species
GCAGGGGUGGCGGAGCCUGGUUAACGCGCCAGACUCAAGAUCUGGUGACUUAGGUCAUCGAGAGUUCAAAUCUCUCCCCCUGCA